ACUCGUUGCUAGAACUCUUCUAUUACAAAAUGUCAUUAUCCCUGCCAACUGUGCCUUGUUUAAAAUGAUCGUUUAAAACUUUAAAUGCGGGUUUGCCUUAAUUCAAAUGAAAAGAUCUACCUGAACAAGAUGAAAAUGGACCAGCAUCUUUUGAUUCUAAUUCUAAAUGCGAGCUAUGGUUCAAGCCAAGAGCAAAUUGGUGUGAACAUGAUAUCAAAUACUCGUGCUAUUGAAAUUACGUUAAAAACGUUGGUCAAUGAAAAAUGGUUUGUGUCGAAACAACUGCAAUAAUGCUGGAAUGUGUCUGUUUUGAUUUUUUACCAUUUUCCUAACGGAAAUUAAUUCCCUCGAGGAAGUCAUUUGGAUUCCACAUACACCGUUGACGAGUUUUCAUCAAAGUUGCAGCUUAAGAUUGCAAAAGAUGUUAUCUGUGAGUUACAACAAUUGCAUAUUGUUGAAUAUAUUGAUAAAUUCAGUACAGCGUGAAUGAAAAAUAUUAUAUUGAAUGCUUUAACGAAGACAUACGAGACACAAAUUACAACUUUACUGCUGAAAAAAUGAUAUACGUACUCAAAAUGUUUUAGUUCACAUUACCGUAUGCCGUAUGUGGUUUAUGGAAUAUUAUUAUCAGUAAUUAACUAGAAUGUUACUUCAAAUAAAACUAACACUUAUGUCAAGAAUACGUCACCCUGAUCUCAAUAAAAUAAAAGUAGAACUGAUUGCCAAUACACGAAUGCGAGACAUUGAUCGGGGUACUCCAACGUUUUCGGUACGAGAAAUCAAGAUUUUGACUGAAGCUGGACAGAUAAUUCGCAACGCUUAAUAAUUAAUCUUGACGAAGAGUUUCCCUUCUACUUCGAUGUGAAAGAUGCGCAGAAAAUGGGUAUGAUCUAAGAGUACAGUUGAACUCAAAUUUGCUGACAAACUACUUCAAAAACAGUGAAAGGCCCCCAUAAUUCAGUGAAAUAACAUCAUUUGCACAGUUCUCAAGAAUGGAACAUGUUGCUGAUAAUUUUGUAUGUGUGCAUUUCUUUUUGUCCAUUAUCGUUUUCUGCCAUGAAUGUCAUGGAUUACGUUUUCAGUUUGUACCUUUGACUGUAAGUCAAAAACGCUGCCAUCGAGAGUGCUGCCGGAAUACAUGCCUGUGGAAAAAAAAUGAAUAUGAGGAAUGAAUGGUAGAAAAAUGCCAUCAAUUCAUGUUCUUUUUCUUGUGUAAUUCUGGAUCGUGUUCUUUUACGCUGAUAAUUCUGAGCGUGCUUAAACUGAAGUUGUCAUGGCUGCAGAACUAGUUAUCACAGACUUUCCUCACCUGGUUUUGCAUUUUUUUUCUGGUGCACGUAAAAGUUAAUGUUCAUUUUUAUAUAAUUGGUUGUGUUCAAGAUUCAAAAGGUGUGGAUUUUCAGAUGGAAGCCGUCAGUCUAUUGUAAUUAUGAUAUCAGCACCAAAGGCUGUAGCUUCGCCUGAUUUACUUGAAGCCAAUAUGCAUGAGGCAUUUGCAGAUCCAAAUCCAGACGCUUCCACUGCUUAAAAUGAAAGUUUUCCAGAUAACAACGUUAAAGGCUGUACCACUAUACGUUCGAAUUCCGAAAAAUGGCCAUCUGGUGUUUUAAACAUCCCAAAAUCGUGUGCAGCGCAGAAUAACGAAAUAGUAAUUGUUU